rnacentral:rRNA from 1 species
UACGGAGGAUCCAAGCGUUAUCCGGAUUCAUUGGGUUUAAAGGGUGCGUAGGCGGACUGAUAAGUCAGCGGUGAAAUCUCUCGGCUCAACCGAGAAACUGCCGUUGAUACUGUCAGUCUUGAGUACAGAUGAUGUGGGCGGAAUAUGACAUGUAGUGGUGAAAUACUUAGAUAUGUCAUAGAACACCGAUUGCGAAGGCAGCUCACAAAACUGUCACUGACGCUGAUGCACGAAAGCGUGGGGAUCAAACAGG